AGAGUUUGAUCAGUGGCUCAGGACGAACGCUGGCGGCGCGCUUAACACAUGCAAGUCGAGCGAUGAAACUUUAACAGAACCCUUCGGGGUGAAGAUAAAGUGGAUUAGCGGCGGACGGGUGAGUAACACGUGAGUAACCUGCCUUAGACAUUGGGAUAGCCUCGGGAAACCGGGAUUAAUACCAAAUAAAAUCAUAAUGACACAUGUCAUAACGAUCAAAACUCCGGUGGUCUAAGAUGGACUCGCGUCCCAUUAGCUAGUUGGUAGAGUAAAAGCCUACCAAGGCGACGAUGGGUAGCCGGCCUGAGAGGGUGAACGGCCACAUUGGAACUGAGAAACGGUCCAAACUCCUACGGGAGGCAGCAGUGGGGAAUAUUGCACAAUGGAGGGAACUCUGAUGCAGCGACGCCGCGUGAACGAAGAAGGCUUUCGAGUCGUAAAGUUCUUUUAUAUGGGAAGAUAAUGACGGUACCAUAAGAAAAAGCCCCGGCUAACUACGUGCCAGCAGCCGCGGUAAUACGUAGGGGGCUAGCGUUGUCCGGAAUCACUGGGCGUAAAGGGUUCGCAGGCGGAAAUGCAAGUCAGAUGUAAAAGGCAGUAGCUUAACUACUGUAAGCAUUUGAAACUGCAUAUCUUGAGAAGAGUAGAGGUAAGUGGGAUUUUUUAGUGUAGCGGUGAAAUGCGGUAGAUUAUUAAAAGAAAUACCGGGGGGCGAAGGCGACUUACUGGGGCUCAUUCUGACGCUUGAGGAACGAAAGCGUGGGUAGC
rnacentral:rRNA from 1 species